GAUGUACUCCCUCCAUCCAGAAAAACUUGUCUCAACCUUGUUCCUCAAAUGGAUGUAUCUAGCACUAACUUGAUGGUAGAUACAUCCAUUUGAGGGACAAGUUUUCCCGGAUGGAGGGAGUAGUGU
rfam:Triticum aestivum genome assembly, contig: Triticum_aestivum_CS42_TGACv1_scaffold_220685_3B